rnacentral:misc_RNA from 1 species
GAUGAAGAACGCAGCGAAAUGCGAUAAGUAAUGUGAAUUGCAGAAUUCAGUGAAUCAUCGAAUCUUUGAACGCACAUUGCGCCCGCCAGUAUUCUGGCGGGCAUGCCUGUUCGAGCGUCAUUUCAACCAUCAAGCCCCAGGCUUGUGUUGGGGACCUGCGGCUGCCGCAGGCCCUGAAAACCAGUGGCGGGCUCGCUGUCACACCGGGCGUAGUAGAUUUUAUCUCGCUCAGGGCGUGCUGCGGGUCCCGGCCGUUAAAAGCCUCUUUUUACCCAAGGUUGACCUCGGAUCAGGUAGGAAGACCCGCUGAACUUAAGCAUAUCAAUAAGCGGAGGA